CCCCUUUGCAAUCACAAAAAAAGCACCUAUAUAGAGGGUGCUGGCAACAGCUAUGGCGAUAAAUGGAAAUCGUAAUAAACCAUUCGGACCCGGGGGCGGUACCCGGCGCCUCCACCAAAUAUUUCAGCAAGGCUUAUGUGGCCGUUAGAACGCUGAAACAUGGGGGCGAAAUAGGAUCGACGAGGGUGUAAAGGGUUGUCUUUCGCUCGGCAUGGUACCACCGUAUCGGACCAUUAUGAUAGUUGCAAAUGACAACUUCGCUGAGGCACGUCUAGCUGCGUAAUGCGGUUCGACACCUCGAAUUAAAGCCCUUUUCCUCUAGCAAGGACUAGGCGGGGUCCGCAGGCACCUGGCAACAGAAGCCUGCAUU
rnacentral:tmRNA from 1 species